rnacentral:sRNA from 1 species
ACUACUAUAUAUAAGAGCACACUCGAGAGAAGAGCUGAUUCUGUGUUCGGCUGUCAAAGGAGUAGUCCUCAGAUAGAGAUUCUGAAAACGAGGGGGGAGGUUGCAGUAAUCCCGUUGGCCUAAUUGAAGAGCCUAAAUUCAGACGGGGUCGUGGAAGGCCCAGGAAGGUUAGGGGAUCUGGAGAAAGAGGGCGACCCCAAACACAAGUUCAAAAGAUAAGGAACCCCCCAAAGCGGAAUAGGAUUAGAAAGAGACGUAGUGUAGAUGAAACAAUGGCCGAUAUACAGGAAAGGAAGCAGGUUAUAAAGAAAAAAAUAGAUGAACUCUCCCCAGAAGAAAUGAGAAGCACACUGCUUAAGGUUGUUGAUGAGAACCCUUAGUAUAUUUUAGUAUACUAGAACCCUGCCCAGGUUCAUCACAGCAUCCUACCACCCAACUGCCUUUGUGCAGUUGUGGUUUUUGUAGAGACAUGCAUACAGAUAAGGAAAAGCUAUGAUGUCAGAGAAAUGCAGAUAGCUGUGUGUCUCAUCUACCUGAUUUUGAUGUACUUAUUCUGAAUGAGGCAGUCCUUGUUCUAGCAAGACCAUACAGACAGGACAUUCUUGCCAUGCCAGAAGAUACUGACAGAAAUUGGGCCAAUCGACACACUGCUUACCGCCAGUUUGUCUUGUGACACCACGGCAAACUUGGAACGGGCAACUGACGGGUCAUUCCAAGCUGCUGCAUAUGGCGUAUCAGAGACAGAUUUCCUGAUCCAUAUGGCAAUUAUGUUGGGUUCAAAGAUGAACUGUUGGAGUUAUAAAUGUACAGAAACAUAUAAAAAUGGAACAUGGGAAUUUGAUUAAAAAAGAUGUCCAUGUA